rnacentral:rRNA from 1 species
UGGGGAAUUUUGGACAAUGGGCGAAAGCCUGAUCCAGCAAUGCCGCGUGUGUGAAGAAGGCCUUCGGGUUGUAAAGCACUUUUGUCCGGAAAGAAAUCCUUGGCUCUAAUACAGUCGGGGGAUGACGGUACCGGAAGAAUAAGCACCGGCUAACUACGUGCCAGCAGCCGCGGUAAUACGUAGGGUGCAAGCGUUAAUCGGAAUUACUGGGCGUAAAGCGUGCGCAGGCGGUUUGCUAAGACCGAUGUGAAAUCCCCGGGCUCAACCUGGGAACUGCAUUGGUGACUGGCAGGCUAGAGUAUGGCAGAGGGGGGUAGAAUUCCACGUGUAGCAGUGAAAUGCGUAGAGAUGUGGAGGAAUACCGAUGGCGAAGGCAGCCCCCUGGGCAAGUACUGACGCUCAUGCACGAAAGCGUGGGGAGCAAACAGGAUUAGAUACCCUGGUAGUCCACGCCCUAAAACGAUGUCAACUAGUUGUUGGGGAUUCAUUUCCUUAGUAACGUAGCUAACGCGUGAAGUUGACCGCCUGGGGAGUACGGUCGCAAGAUUAAAACUCAAAUGAAUUG